AUCUUACUCUAAUUGCUAGUCCUAUUAUGUUGAAGUAGUUUCCAGUAAUAAUCUCCCUUUUCCCUCUGGACCACACAACUCACUGUUCUCACUUUAGUGUUCACUCACACACACAAAGGUAUGCUCUCACAACACAGUUGUUGGUAGGAUAGAAGUAAAACUGUUAUUCUUUCAUUCAAAGCACCUUAGAAUGACUUAUAAACCCCCUUUCUGUUACAAAACUAACUACUAACUCUAUUUUAAAAGAGUUAUAUAACCCCUUUCUGUUACAAAACUAACUACUAACUCUGUUUUAAAAGAGUUAUAUAACAAAUGUCCCCUCCAUGAACAAGGACUUGACCACAAGGCCCGACCCCUACACCCAUUUAAAGUCUGGAAAUUUUUGUUGCAUUUUAUAGAGGUUUCUCCUAACUGCAUCUUCUGGAUUUGUCUCAGUCCAUUGCACCAAAACUUCAGUUACAAAUUUAUUGUUUUGUUUCUUCAUUCUACGAGCUAGAAUAGCCAAUGGUUGUGGAAUGAAAUGACCAUCACUGUCAGCAAAAGGUAAAGUUGUAGAUACUGGUUUAUUUCCAUGCGAUGGUUUGAGUAAGGAAACAUGCAAAAGAUUAUGAAUCUUAGAGUCAGUAGGUAAUUCCAGUUUAUAAGCCACAUUGCCAAUCCUUUCUAAAACCUUGUAGGGACCAUAAUAUCGGGCAACUAACUUGUGGAAAUAGAGGAAGGAUAGCCAUAAAGAGCUUUAAAUGGAGUCAACUGUAUAGCUGUAUGAAAUUUGGUGUUGUACCACAAUUUCGCAAGAGGUAAGUACUCAGUCCACUUGGAAGGAGUGUCCUAGGAAACACAUCGAAGAUAAGCCUCAAUGGAUUUGUUUACAGCCUCUGUUUGACCAUUUAUCUGUGGAUGAAAAGUCGUUGAGCGCAGCAGCUUGACACCAUUCUUGUGCAUCAACUCAAUCCAAAAAUGACUCAUGAACAUCCGAUAUAAUGUCCUGUGGCCAGCCAUGAAGCUUGAUAAUAUUGUCCAUGAAAAGGGAUGCCACCUUAGCCUCCAAAAGGAUGUGCAAGUGGCAAAAAAUGAGCAUACUUAGUUAAACAGUCUAUAACAACAAAAAUCACAGUCAUAAAACAAGAUUUAGGGAGACCAACAAUAAAUUCCAUGGAUAUAGAUUUCCAAGGUCUAUCAGGAAUAGAUAAUGGUUGUAAUAUACCCACAGGAAAUUGAAGUAAAGGCUUACAUUUUUUACAUAGAUGACAAUGCUGGACCCAUUUUUUUACCUCCUUCUGCAUACCCUUCCAAUAGAAGUGAUCUUUAAUCCUUCUAUAAGUCAUCUCAUAUCUUGAAUGGCCUCCAAUCGCUGAAUCAUGAAAGUGUUGGAGAAUCUGUUGACGCAAUUCUGCAUUGUCUCCCACCACUAACUUACCUUUUCUCCUCCAUAAAUCAUUCUCAAAAGUAUAAUGUUUAUGGGGAUUUUUAGUCAAGCGAAUACUAUCAAUAACAUUUUGAAAUUUUGAUCUACUGGCCAAGAAUCCUUAACUCUCUGAAUUAAUUCAGAAGUUAUUACAAACAUUGAAGCUAACUUACCUUAGGUAGGGUUUCGUGACAGCACAUCAACUACUACAUUGUUUUACCUUUUUUGUAUUCAAUGUGGAAAUCCAAACCCAUGAGCUUGUCCAAACCCCAAUUCUGUAACAUUGUUGUAGGGGGUUGCUCCAGCAAAUACUUCAAAGCCUUUUGAUCUGUUUUUAUUACCACGUAUUGAUCUAAAAAUAAUGCUGCCACUUUUUUACUGCAAAUAGAAUAGCAAAAAAUUCUUUCUCAUAUGCAGAUAACAAUUGAUAUUUAGGUCUCAUUGCCUUACUUAAGUGUGCAAUAGGGUGAUUAGAUUGCAUGAGCACCGUUCCAAUCCCUAUUCUUGAAGCAUAAGUUUCAAUAGUAAAAGAUUGCAAAAAAUUUGGUAAUAUUAAAACUGGAGCAGUGGUUAUUGCCUUUUUUUAACCUGUGGAACCCCACACAUAAGGAAUAUCUUUUUGCAGUAAAGCUGUCAAAGGUGUUGCAAUCUUACCAUACCCCUGAAUAAAACGUCUAUAGUAGCCAGACAGUCCCAAGAAUCCACGCAACUCCUUUAAAUUGGUAGGUUGUGACCAUUCUUGAACAACCAAUAUUUUUUCUAGAUCAGGUUGGACUCCUUGCAUAGAAAUUUGAUGUCCCAAAUAAUUUACCUGUGUCUUUCCAAAGCUACAUUUCUUUUUAUUCUAAAAUAAAUUAUGAUUGCGUAAUAAGGUCAACGUUAUGUCAAUGCACCUAAUAUGGUCUACCCAAGUCUUAGUAUAGAUUAAUAUAUCAUCAAAGAAAACCAAUAUGAAUUUCCUUAAAUAAGAAUCAUUCAUAAGAUUUUGAAAUGUAGCAGGGGCAUUGCUAAGACCAAAAGGCAAAACUACCCACUCAUACAGCCCACUAUGAGUCCUAAAAGUUGUUUUAUAAAUAUCCGAUGGAUGCAUUCUAACCUGAUUAUAUCCACUUCUUAGGUCUAAUUUUGAAAAAUAAGUAGGCCCAUACAAUUCAUCCAAAAGAUCCUCAAUCAAGGGUAUAUGAAUUUUUUUUUAAUAGUCAUAGCUUUCAACUUUCUGAAAUCAGUGCAACAACGCCAAUCUUUUUAACCAAAACCAAGGGAGAAGCAUAACAACUAGAACUCUCUCUAAUAAAUCCAGUUGAUAACAAUUGUUUUAUGUCUUUUAAUUUCAUUUUUCUGGUUGUGAGGAUACCUAUAAGGUUUCAAAGAAACAGGAACAUCACUAUUUAAAAUGAUUCUAUGGUCAUACCUUUUAGGUGGUGGAAGUUGGGUAGGUUCUUGAAAAACAUCUUCAAAUUGAGUUAAUAAUUCAUCCAGUUGUUGUUGUUGUGCACUCGAAAUGCAUAAACUGAGAAUGGGAUGCAAUAUGAAAAGUAGUUGCACCUUGUAUGGCUAAUAACAUAGGUUGACCCUCUGCAAGCUUAACUUUAUUGGAAAUUUGAAUAUUAUUAUUUUGUUGUUUUUCUCCUACUAAAGUCACCCCUUAUCUCCCUUAUGGUUGAAAGACAUAGUUAGUUGUGCACAAUUCCAUACAAGCUCUCCUAAUGUUUGAAACCAUUGCAUGCCCAAAAUAACUCUAAAAUUAGUACUAGAUAAAUACCAAAAAGUCAGUCUGAAAACUCUGAUUAUGAAACUACUAGUCAAUCCCCAAACACUGUUUAGUGAUUAUUAAAGGAAAAGAAUGAAUAGAGCAAAUCCCUUGUGUAUAUUGAACACAUAGGGUUAUGUUUAUAUAGGAAAAGAAACAUAUGGGCUAAGCCCAUUACAUAAAUAUGAGAUAUUUAACAAUAUCUAUAAUAUCUCAUAAUAUCACAUAAUAUCUAAUUAUAUCUAAUAAUAUCUAAUAAUAUCUAACACUCCCCCUCAAGCUGGUGCAUAUAGAUCAUAUGUGCCCAGCUUGUUACAAAUGAAAUCAAUCCUAGGCCCUCGUAAGGGUUUAGUAAAAAUAUCUGCUAAUUGAUUAUUUGAAUUAACAAACUCAGUCUUGAUAUCUCCCGAUAUAAUCUUUUCUCGAAUGAAAUGACAAUCAAUAUCAACAUGUUUUGUCCUUUCAUGAAAAACUGGAUUUGAGCUAAUAUGAAGAGCAGUCUGAUUAUCACAUAUAAGUGUCAUUUGAGUAACCUCUCCAAAUUGCAAUUCUUUAAGUAACUGUUUAAGCCAAAUAAGCUCACAAGUAGCCGAGGCCAUAACUCUAUAUUCUGUUUCUGCACUAAAUCUUGCCACAACACUUUGUUUCUUGCUCUUCCAAGAGAUCAAGUUAUCACCAAUGGAGACACAAUAACCAGAAGUUGAUCUUCUAUCAAAUGGAGAUCCUGCCCAAUCAGCAUCUGAAUAACAAACGAUUUUAGUAUGGUUAUUAUGACCAUAUAACAAACCUUUUCCAAGAGAGCCUUUAAUGUACUUCACUAUACGAAUGAAUGCAUUCCAAUGAUCUUCACAUGGAGAAUUAAGAAAUUGACUCACUACACUGACUGCAAAGGAAAUAUCAAGACGAGUAACAGUGAGAUAGUUCAAUUUUCCAACUAAUCUCCUGUACUUCUCAGGAUCUGAAAGAGGCUCCCCCUAAUUGGGUAAAAGCUUGAAAUUGAGAUCCAUGGGAGUAUCAACAGAUUUUGAAUUCAUCAACCCAAUUUCCUCCAAAAUAUCUAAUGCAUAUUUUCUUUGAGAGAUAACAAUACCAGUAUUGGAUUGUGCUACCUCAAUCCCCAAGAAAUAUCUAAGUUUGCCAAGAUCUUUUGUCUGAAAGUGUUGACAAAGGUGUUGUUUUACUUGUGAGAUGCCAUGGUGAUCACUGCCUGUAAGAAAAAUGUCAUCAACAUAUACUACGAGAUAGAUACACCCAACACUCGAGUGACGAUAAAAAACUAAAUGAUCUCCUUCACUGCGAGUCAUACCAAAUUGUUGAACAACAUUGCUAAAUUUUCCAAACAAGCCCUAGAUGACUGUUUGAGGCCAUAUAAGGAUUUGCGAAGACGACAUACCAAUCCAGAAGACUCCCCCUGAGCAACAAAACUGGGAGGUUGCUCCAUAUAAAUUUCUUCCUGCAAAUCCCCAUUAAGAAAAGCAUUUUUGACAUCCAGUUGAUAAAGAGGCCAUUGUUGAAGAGCAUCCAUAGCUAUGAAUAAGCGAACAAAGACCAUCUUUGCUACUGGAGAAAAAAUAUCACCAUAGUCUAAACCAAAAAUUUGGGUAUAACCCUUAGCCACAAGACGAGCUUUGAGACGAUCAAUAGUACCAUCAGGACAAACUUUGAUAGCAAAAAUCCACCUGCAACCAACAACAGAUUUCCUAGAUGGUAAAGGAACAAGUUCCCAAGUUCCAUUAUUCUGAAGCUCAUUCAUUUCAUCAAGCAUGGCCUGAUGCCAACCAAGAUGAGCUAAGGCAUCACCUACAGAUUUUGGAAUGGAUACAGAAGAAAUAGACGAAAGGCAGGUAUAAAAGGGUUGAGUUAGUCUAUGGUAACUCAAAGCAGUAUAAUGUGGAGAGGGAUUACGAGUAGAACGUAUACCUUUACGGAUAGCAAUAGGCAGAUCAGGUUCAACAGUCGGAGGGGGAUGAGGUGUUGGCACCAGAAUAGAGUCUGCUGAUGGACGAUGAGACGUUUGACGACGACUAUACACCUGAAGAGUUGGUGGCGGUGGUGAAUCGUUAGGUGCACUAGGCACAACAAGAGGAAUAUUAACUUGAUUAGAUGAAAAAAUUGAAAGAGAAGGACAAGACUUAAAGUAAAGGGAAGAUUCACUGAAGGUGACAUCUGCUGAAAUAAAAUUACGGUUUAAAGACGGUGAGAAACAUUUAUAUCCUUUUUGUGAUCUAGUGAACCCUAAAAAGACACAUUUGUGUGACUUAGGAGAUAAUUUAUUAAGACCAGGAUUAAAAUUAUGAACAAAACAUGUGGACCCAAAAACUUUGGGAGGUAAAGAGUGGAGAGGGUCAUGUGGAAAUAAAAUAGAAUGAGGAAUUUUGUUAUCUAAAACUGAAGAUGGCAUGCGAUUAAUGAGAUAACAUGCACAAAGAACAGCAUCACCCCAAAAACGCUGAGAAACAUCACCAUGGAUUAAAAUAGUACGAGUUGUUUCAAUAAGAUGUCUAUUCUUACGCUCAGCUACCCCAUUUUGUUGAGGUGUAUAAGCACAUGAAGUUUGAUGAAGAAUACCAUGAGAAGCCAUAAAUUUUUUAAAAGAAUGAGAAAGAUACUCACGUCCAUUAUCACUGCGCAAAGUUCGGAUGGAAAUUCCAAAUUGAUUUUUAAUUUCAUUGUAAAAUAUUUGAAAUAUAGAAAACAACUCAGAACGGUUUUUCAAUAAAAAUACCCAAGUACAUCUUGAAUAAUCAUCAAUAAAAGUAACAAAAUACUGAAAUCCUAAAUUAGACUUAAUACGACUUGGUCCCCAAAUGUCAGAGUGAACUAAGGCAAAAGGAGAUGAAGCACGUUGUGAGACACUACUAGGAAAAGAACUACGAAUGUGCUUCCCUAACUGACACGACUCACACGAUAAAGUAGACAUAUUAGACAAACUUGGAACAAGCUAUUGCAUCUUGGCAAGACUAGGAUGACCCAACUGAGCAUGAAUGAGAGAUGGAGAAUCCAUAAUCGCGCCAACAUGUGCAGAGAUCUGUAGUUGAUAAAGUCCAUAAGACUCACAUCCGGUGCCAAUCAUCCAUCCCGAACUCCUGUUCUGUAAAGUAACAAAAUCUUUGGUAAAAGAAAUAACACAAUCAAGGGAACGGGUGAGACGACUAAUGGAUAAUAAGUUAAAUGGAGACCCAGGGACAUAAAGAACAUUAUCAAUAGAUAAAGAAGAAAAAAGAUUAAUAGUACCAACACCAUGUGAUGGUACCUUAUAUCCAUUGGCCAUGGUAACCGAAGGUAAAUAACCCGUAGUAGAUAGCGAAGAGAAAAAAGAUUUAUUACCAGUAAUGUGAUCAGUGGCACCUGAAUCUAGAACCCAAGGCCCAUGGGAAGUGGAGUGAGUGAGGCUAACAAAAGAUGUACCUGAAUGUGCAACAGAAGCCGUGGAACUAGGGUUCUGACGAUCCUCAUACCAUUUAAGAAAUUCAUUGAAAAUAGCAGGCUGGCCUGGGGUAUCAAUUGAAGUAUGGUCCAUGGUAGAAGGUUGCACAUGGGCAAUUUGAGCAACUACAAUAGAUCUAGGAGGACGACCAUGUAAGGCAUAACAUCUGUCAAUUUUGUGGCCAAGUUUGCCACAAUGGUCACACUUGUGACGCACUUUGCCCGGCUUGUGAGGGCGAGUACGAUCAUUAUGUUGGGAGACUAAAGCAGAAGAGUCAUCAGCAUGAGACGUUAUAUCAGUGGUGUGUUUACCUAGAUAUUCUGCCAUUAUACCAUCAAGACGUUUGGGAGCAACAAUUGUGAGAAGAUUUUGACACACACCAUAAAGACGUUGAGUAUCAUUGGUGUAUAAUAAUUUUGCUUGUUCCCAAACUUCUGAACAUGUCUCAUAGGUACGGAAAAUUUGUUUUAAAGAUGAGUGAAUGGUCGAUUUGAUAACAAUGCAUAAUUGAGCAUCAAUUUUCAGCAACAGUAGGAUGAGUAAGAUGAUCAACAUAACCUUGACUCUUAAGCCAUAAUUUAAUAUCUGAUGCCCAAGUGUCAUAAUUGGUUCCAUCCAAUUUGUCAAUGGAAAGAUGAUCAUUGACGUAAUUAGUAUAAAUAGAUGAAUCCGGCAUAAUGACUGCGGAAGAAGCCAUAGCGGUAGCGGCAACGAAAGAAGCCAAGCGGCAGCGGAAAAAGCCAUAGAAGAUAAGGACAAAUCCAGUCACCGGUUAAUUGGCGGCAGCAACAAAGAUGAAGGCUCCGACAGCGAUUCCGGCAGCGUCUCCAGCGAAGGCUCCGACGAGAUUCCACUGAGUUUCCGGUGACGAAUCCGGCGAGAUUCCGAUGACGGUUCCGGCGACAGGUCCAACGAGAUUCCAGCGACGGGUUCGACGACUCCGACGAGGUAGUGGUAGCUCCGGCGAAACAGUGGGGCGGUGGUUGGAAAAUUCCAAUGAAUAGUGGGUUCACUAAUAAAAAUUGAACCCUAAACCCUAACCUUAUGCUCUGAUACCAUAUUAAAGGAAAAGAAUGAAUAGAGUAAAUUCCUUGUGUAUAUUGAACACAUAGGGUUAUGUUUAUAUAGGAAAAGAAACAUAUGGGCUAAGCCCAUUACAUAAAUAUGAGAUAUCUAAUAAUAUCUAUAAUAUCUCAUAAUAUCACAUAAUAUCUAAUUAUAUCUAACAAUGAUUAUGAGUUGUCUAUCCGAAAUCACAAUUACUAAAAAAUCAUUUAUGAAAAUUGUCUUUAAACCCAAUGAUUUCAUCCACUUCUCAUUAAUAAAGUUGUGGGUACUACCUAUGUCCAUUAAAUGGAAUGCUCUGUUUUUUAAUCAUACCAGUUAGUUGUAGAGUACUCCCACCAGCCACUCCUUGAAGUGCAUGUAAAGAAACAUGUACUGACGAUUCAUGCAACAAUUCUAGACUCUGUGUAAUUAAAUUCAUCUCCGCAUCUUUGUCUGAAGCAUCCUUUUCCUUCAUUUGAUCUUGGGAAACAAAAAUAACAUGUAAUUUGCCCCAAACCUUACAUUUAUUUCUAUGGUUCUUAUCCCAUUUUUCACCACAAAAUCUGCACAACCCUUUAGAGAUACGAUCACUUAUCUCUUUUCUGGAAAUUGAACCUGUAGUAAUAGUCUUGCUGUCCAAUCCUAAGAGUGGCUUAAAGGAACUUGGUGCAGCAUGAGAUUGUAAUGUAGUAAUAGGUGCAGAUUUAUGGUAAAACUGGGACUAAUUCCCAGUUUUAAAAUUUUUGUGUUGCUCCUCUGAACUUCCCAUUGAAACCCCAUGAAUUUCCUUGGUCAAUUCCUGCAAUAGAUCUUUCGGGAGACGGGCUAACUGCACUGCUUCUUGAAGAGUAGUUGGACUGUGUAAACAGACUGAUUUCUCCAAUCUUACCGUUAAACCUGACAAAAAAAGAAACUCAAAGUCUUUUCGUCCGAAACCAUAACUCUGGCCAACAGAUUGUCAAAUUUUUCCAAAUAAUCAACUAAAGAACUUCCCUGUUUUAAUCGAGUUAAUUCAGCCAUAGGAUUAUCAAAGGUACCAUCAUCAAAUCUUUGAGCCGCAUCCUUCAAGAUUUGUGUCCAAGAUUGAUGUUGGAAAUCAAAAGUCUUAAUGUAGUGACUCUGCCACGCAAAAGCCUUGCCCUCCAUUUAAAGCAACAGUAAUCUUGCUCUUUGUUGUAUUGGGUGUCCUCUAAUUCGAAAAAUUGCUCCACUUUGGCCUUCCAAUCCCGAAAAUUGGAUCCAUCGAAUGAUGGAAAAGGCAAUUGGGUUCGAUUAAGCACCGAGAAGAGUUCUUCACAAGUUCUUGAUUUGUGAAAGAAGAAGAUGGAAUCUGCUGUAAACUGCUCCCAACAAACAUGGAAGAAAUUAAACCUUCAAUAGCUUGUUGUAAACCUUGUAAAGAUUUCUGGGUUGCUGCUUGGGAAUCUGCCACCAGUUUCUCCAAAAAAUCCACCCUUGAUUCUAAUUUUUUAUUGGUCACCAUCUCACCUAGAAAGUUGAUACCACUGUUAAAGUAGUUUCCAGUAAUAAUCUCCCUUUUCCCUCUGGACAACACAACUCACACUGUUCUCACUUUGGUGUUCACUGACACACACAAAGGUAUGCUCUCACAACACAAUUAUUGAUAGGAUUGAAGUAAAACUGUUAUUCUUUCAUUCAAAGCACCUUAGAAGGACUUAUAAACCCCUUUCUAUUACAAAACUAACUAGUAACUCUGUUUUAAAAGAGUUAUAUAACCCUUUUCUUUACAAAACUAACUACUAACUCUAUUUUAAAAGAGUUAUAUAACAUAUUAAUAGAUGGAAUCUUAAAUAACUUUUCAAUAUGUGUUACUUAAUUGUCCUUAUCUUUAACUGUAAUCAUUUCCCUAUCAGUGUCCUGAACAUGGAGCAUGAUUCUUGGCUUGGUUCGGUAGACUUCUGUGUUUAUUUUUACACAAGUAUUUUGUUGGUGGACCUGUUUUAACAAAUUUACCUUGAUACCCCAUGUCUGUGGUAUAAGAACUCAGUUUGUUGUGGGUUGUAGUUUUGUCAUCAUCAUAAUAAUGAAUACUGAAACUAUAUUCAUUGGAUUUCAAUAUGAUGAUAGCUUUUAGAAAUUAUUCCUUGAAUAAUUACACAUGCCAAAGGUAUGGAGCAUAGUGCAUUUGAUAAACUUAGUUCGUUGGAACUACAAAAAAUUGUACCCAGGAUCUUGUACUUCUAUUUUCAAAAUCGUGAAUACUGUAGGCACCUCUUAAAAAAUUUCUUCCUUGGUGACAAUUCCUGGAACCAAGGGAAAUAUGACAACUUCGUUUAUGAUCACAAUUGAAGUUGUAUUACUGUUUUGAAUUUGAUUUAGGCGGCUCUCACAAACAUUAUUCAAUUGUUGUUCUUACUAAUAAUUUUUCCUACUACAGCUUCUGCACACAAUUCAAGUUGCAGAGAGUGUAGAGAAACCUCCACUUGCAGAAGCUUUUCGUGAUGUUUAUGAUGUUCCUCCAUCCAAUCUCCGUGAGCAGGAGCAAUGGCUGAAGAAGAUUGUAAAAGAACAGCCCGAAGAGUAUCCAGGAAAUAUUUCUGGGUAGACUUCAAUAUGCUAAAGCAAAUUUCACUGCUGCUAAUAAUUUACAUGUCCUGAUUUUCCACUAGACUAUUUUCAGUUUUUUUUUUUAAUUUUUAUAUUAUGCGUAA
rnacentral:lncRNA from 1 species